rnacentral:tRNA from 1 species
AGGUGGAUAUGUUAGGAAAAACAAUCUAACCAUCUGAUUUUUAACAGUCACAUGAGGGGUUUAAAAUCCCUCGGCGUUCGCGCUGUGUGGGUUCAAGUCCCACUCCGGCUACCA